rnacentral:lncRNA from 1 species
CGCCCGGCCCCGCUCCGCCCCCGCUCCCUCCUACUGCUCCGCCUCCCGCUCCGCCCCCGCUCCCUCCUACUGCUCCUCCUGCCGCCCGCGCGGGGACGGAGCCUCUCUGUCCGUCCGUCCGCCCGCACCCACGGGCUCCCCGCUCGCCCGGCUGCUUGUCCGCCCCGGCCCCGGCCCCGGCCCCGGCCCCGGCCCCGGCCCCGGCCCCGGACGGACGGACGGACAGAGGGAGGGACAGAGGUGCAGCCCCGGGCCCCGGGGGCUCCUCUCCCGACGGCCGGUCCGGCGGCGCGCUCCGUCCGCCCCAUGCCACCCGGACGACGGCCCUGCCCAACAUCCUAGCCCGGCUGGACAGCACGCUCCAGCACUAUCCACUGCCCUUCCACCCUUCUCCAUUGCCUCUGCCAAAGUGGGAACGAGGAGAAAGAACACAGGAUUAGAAAAGAAAAUAUCAGGAGUGGAUCUACCAACUCUAUGCCACUGAGAGUCCUAUGUGCGUCACGCUGCCGAGGGGGACGGCGCUCAGGCGUUUCUAUGCGGAAGCUGCUUCGGGCCCCGUUCUCUGA